AUAUCAAACACAGCGGUUCAUUUAAAACCGUGCAUGCCCAUAUAAUAAAAUUUGUUCAGACGUUCAAUAUUAAAAUCUAAUACUCUUAGAAAUUAAAAUAUAUUAGUUAUUCUUACUUUAGAUUUUCUUCAACUAUAAAAAAAAAAAAAAAAGUAGAUUACUCUCAUUGGUUUCAGUGGCAACACAAAAACAACAUAAUAGUGUCUUAAAUAAAUUUUUUU
rnacentral:lncRNA from 1 species